UAAUGACUUAUUUAAGUUCAGUUUCUUAAUUUCGUUGGGCGACUGGUAGAUCUAUAGCGUAUUUUAUUACAAAACCAUUUUAAUUGUAACAAUACAGAAUGAUUAUUAGUUACCAAAAAACAAUGAAGAGUAAUUUAUUGUCAUGGACUUUUUUCAAAAUUGCAUAACAGCACCUCAAGUAAACAUUUAGGUAUUGCGCAUUUCUUUAAUGCGUACGUAAAAUAGAUACGCAAUUGGUUAAAAUAAACAAGCGAGAAACGAUCUCUGUAACGUAACAUUUGACGAUGAGACUCAUUAUAAGCCAUUUGAGGUCUAUGAAUUAAAUGACAUGAAGUAUGAUAAUAAGAGUUCCUUUUUUUACGAAAUGAAUUAAUUUCCACCAAGCUAUACGAAACGACUGGCGCCUUCCGUGGACUACCAAAAACGCAAAUAAACCACAAAAUUUCAGUAAAAAAUUCCAGUUCAAAUAAUUUAAUGACUUGCGAAGCAAAAACCUGAACAAACUCAAAAAAUAUUAAAAUCACUGCUUGCUCAAACGAUCAUUGAUAUUUAAUUAUAAAUUCGCCAGUAUAAGUAAUAGUUUUUAGGUUAAAUCGUUGUCUUAUAUCCCGUUUUUUUUUUCUUAGAUGGGUGUACGAGCUCAUAGCCCACCUGGUGUUAAGUGGUUACUGGAGCUCAUAGACAUUUACAACGUAAAUGCACCGCCUCCCUUGAGAUAUAAGUUCUAAGGUGUCAGUAUACAUAGUUACAAAGGCUGUCCGGCUCUUCAAACCGAAACGCAUUACUGCUUCACGGCAGCAAUAGGCAAGGUGGUGUUACCUACCCGUGCGGACUCACAAGAUGUUCUACCACCAGUAAAAAUUUGCCAAUGGCUGAAUAUCUAAGCAUGACAGAGUUUUUAAGUAAAUAGGAACAAUGUAGGUACAUUAACACUUUGAAGGCGCGAUCUCAUUAACGAUAUCUACCAUUCAAACAUGAGAAGCGUUAAACAACAUCACGUCAAAACCUAAAUGUCAACAAUGAUUGCACGACACUUAUUAUGGUAUUGAUACAUUGAAUUUAGUAAUGGACGCUGUAACCGUCACGAAAUUCUAAUAAGUAAAAUACAUCACAGAUGAAAUAGCUAUUAUUCAACGGCAAAAUUGUGCGCACUAACAUCUAAAUAAGUUCUCAAGGUCUCCGAAGAAGCCAACGAUUAUUAUUUGUCAAGUCUUUGAGACACGCCUACCCGACGUCAAUAGUGUAAAUUAUAUGCCUGCUCUACAUAAUCGCAAGCGGUCACGAAAUGUAAGCAAUCAGGAAUUGUCUUAAUUGGUAAAUAUGAAUUUACUCAUGACGAGAUCACACAAAGAUAUACAUUUCAUCUCAUACUUGUAAUAUGUAAUAAAAACAAUGUUGGCCGCUAAUAGUAAAUAAGAUUAAGAAGUAAUAAAGAUUACGCAAUUUGGGACAUUCACCGGACUCAAGUAACAGGAGUUCAUAAAUCGUAGCAGAACAAAAUACGCAAAAUCAAUAUCACGGUAGUUGGCGGCAGCUUGCAACAUGCAAUGAAGUGCACCCCGACGGUAUUGAAACUAAUUAAAUGAAAGUACAAUAACAUGCGCAGUGAAGAUGAGAAUGGGUUUGAUGAAUCCCUGAAAAAUACAAUGGUCGUUUACGUUACGGCGACUGAAUAGCUCGGCCUUGUCUCACCGGAAGAUAACACUUACGGCGCCUCGACAUUUUUUCAAAUUGAUUCCGAAAUAACAGUUCCCGGUAACCACGAAAACUGGAUUGUCACAAAGUACUGCCUCUGGUAAAAGUAAACUGGAACGCGAUAAAAAAGCGAGUGCCUAAUAAAUGUCUUCAAUGUCA